rnacentral:lncRNA from 1 species
GCAGAUGUCUGGAAAGAAGAAUACGAACGCCGCUUGGAACAGAUGUUAACCUGCAGAAAGUCUUGGGUAAACGGGUCGUCCAGGUGGAGGCGGGUCGAAUACAGAACACCUACAUUAUGGAGCGCGGGUGGUGGUGAGAGAGGAUCUGUUAAGAAACAGAGUUUGCACAUUCUUCAAGGCUAUGUUUAUCUUCCAAAGGAUUCUUCUGAUUCCUCCAGCUCCAGUUUUUCUCCUCCUAAACAUUUGAUGAGUUUGGAAGUUGAUGUUCUUUGUCUUUUGAAAAGCAUCCACCUGCUUUUCCUCUGGAGGAUGGAAAGACAACUGGCUCUUUUCCCAGACGACUCCAGCAAACCUCACCUGACAUCUCAGCCCAAUCACAGCCACGAGGAAGCUAACCAACAUGAUGGGAAUGGAAGAGCAGAAGAUAGAACUUGGGCUCUUGAUGACGUUGUCAUGGUGCUGAGUGGAAUAAUCCCAAAGACGUACUACCUCAGGACUCCUUGUUGUGACACAGCAAGGAGGCCGUUGUCAACAACCCGGAAGGGAGUUCUUGCCAGAGACUGAACUAAUCAGCAAUGAGAUAGAGACUUCCUCGCCUCUGGAACUGUGAGAAGAACAUUUCUGUGGUUCAAGCCACACCGUCUAUGGUGUUUUUAUUACAACAGUCCAAACUGGCCAAUAAAUA